GACGAACGCUGGCGGCGUGCUUAACACAUGCAAGUCGAACGGAAAGGCCCUGCUUUUGUGGGGUGCUCGAGUGGCGAACGGGUGAGUAACACGUGAGUAACCUGCCCUUGACUUUGGGAUAACGUCAGGAAACUGGGGCUAAUACCGGAUAGGAGCUCCUGCUGCAUGGUGGGGGUUGGAAAGUUUCGGCGGUUGGGGAUGGACUCGCGGCUUAUCAGCUUGUUGGUGGGGUAGUGGCUUACCAAGGCUGUGCCGGGUAGCCGGCCUGAGAGGGUGACCGGCAACAUUGGUACUGCGAUACGGACCAGACUCCUACGGGAGGCAGCAGUGGGGAAUAUUGCACAAUGGGCGGAAGCCUGAUGCAGCAACGCCGCGUGCGGGAUGACGGCCUUCGGGUUGUAAACCGCUUUCGCCUGUGACGAAGCGUGAGUGACGGUAAUGGGUAAAGAAGCACCGGCUAACUACGUG
rnacentral:rRNA from 1 species